AACAGUAGGUUUUCAUUGGACAGUCCCAUUGUCCAAUCACGCUGGAUACUGAUGUCAGCUACUAACUAGUUAGUUUAUUCUUAUUAUCAACAUCUGAAAUUCUAUGUCCUAGAUCUGGGCUAUUCAACUUCAGUAGCAAGUGGGCCAAAUAGGAAAAUCAUAGGGGUCCGUGGGCCACACAGAAUACUUUGUCAAUCAAUGGCUACAAAUAAUUUACAGUAUAAUGUUAAUAGAUAUAUUAGUACGUGGAAUAAACUAGUCAUGUGCAUCCCUUUUCUUUCACUUUAAUUGUAUCAUUACAAUCAAUUCCAGACAGCAGCGAGUCCAUACAAAAAGUUGGAAAGUUAUGGUUACAAGGCUUGAAACAGAAGUGCAAAAAGUAACAUCUAAAAACCAAAGGAGACAUGAGGUGUUUUUCUGACAGGUCCAUAUCCACAAAUGUAGAAAACAAGAUGAAUGUAGUAAAACAGUAAGUAGGCCUGUUUGUAAUAUCCUCAACAACACUUCCAAGCAUACAGGAGCUUUUAAAACAGGUCCAUAUCCAUAAAUGCUAAAUGCAAGAUGAACAUAAUAAAACAGUAGCCAUCAUACUAAUAAUAAAUGGGCCUGUUCAUGAUACUAUCAAAAACAAUUCCAAGCAGACAUAUGGUGCUUAUAGCAGGUCCAUAUCCAUAUUUGUUAAGGAUGAAAACAGUAAAACAGUAUCCAGACUAACAAUAAGUAGGCCUGUUUGAAUCAUCAUAAAACAGAUCUGUAGUCUUUGCAUUUUCACUAAAAGAGCAUUACAUGCCUCAAUCAGGUGAUUUACUACUACACAACUACCAUACAAAUCAGACUUCUAUCAUUUUGAGCCUGUUUGAGUCAGUGAGAGAAAUUACACUGCCUGUAUUUUGCUAUUUCAACAUAGUUUGGGUCAUAAGUUACACUCAUGUAACUUCUCAUUGGUCAUCGAACAACGUGCCUGUGUUGCCUUUAUGGCCUAAGUUGUACAUGCUUUUAUUUUGAAAUGUUUUUUAUUUUGAAAUGGGUUUUCUCUGCUGAGGGAGUCACGUGUGUACAAUUCACUUCCUGUUAGUAGUGAAGAAGCUAGCUGAAUCAGUUCUCCUGUGUUUGUGUUCAUCCAAAGCAAUUCACGCUGUAAACGCCACAGAGGCAAUGUCUUUUCACUCUGCCCUGUAUGAUACAAAAGAGGAACAGUAAACAGCAAAGAAAGCUCA